CAUCGGUUCCUUCGCGACGACCAGCCGUCAAUCCCGCCAGGCCCGGAAGGGAGCAACGGUCGCGGUGAUGUCGGGUGCCGAAGUCCAGCUGGUGCGG
rnacentral:SRP_RNA from 1 species